rnacentral:rRNA from 1 species
CCUGAACGCUGGCGGCGUGGCUAAGACAUGCAAGUCGAACGGGUGUAGCAAUACACCAGUGGCGGACGGGUGAGUAAUGUAUCGCUAACGUGCCCUGGAAUCUGAGAUAGCCAAUCGAAAGGUUGGGUAAUACCAGAUGAAAUAUCCUUAUCGCAUGAUGAGGAUCUCAAAGGAGCAAUCCGGUCUGGGAGCGGGCGAUAUCGUAUCAGCUAGUUGGUGAGGUAACGGCUCACCAAGGCGACGACGCGUAGCCGGGCUGAGAGGUCGGCCGGCCACAUUGGGACUGAGACACUGCCCAGAC